UUUUCACAUGACGUCAGACAACAUCCGUUUUGACUCGAUCCAGUGUAUCUUUAGUUCCGGUGUGUGUAGUUAACGCUGUUUCUGGACUCUAAAGCAGCUGCCACAAAUACGAUUUGAAGAUAUAUCACUAUUUGCAAACAAUUUUUCUUCAUCAACAUAAUCUAAACUGGACAAAUUCCUCGCUGAUUGAUACCAGUUUGACUACGAAGGUUACACUUGAUUCUGCUGUGGUGCCUGUGGAAACAAAGUACAUGAAGUUUGUACUGAGGUGGGAAAACCCUGUGGAUCACAUGGUGGGACUUCUGCUUCAAACUGCUCAUUACAGUUUAUCAUUACCUCUGUCAUCCACCAGUUCACUGCAGACUGGCAGCCGCCAAGGACCCAACAUGGAUGUCUUCUUAAGUUGUAAACCCUGAGUACAUAAUGUUGAAGUAAAAUUGAUAUGCC